AUUCAUGUUAUAGUUAUUAGCGCAUAUUAGAAUUGUCUUAUUUUGUUAUAUCUUUACUAUUAGUUUCUUAUUCUGCCUGAUUCAUAAAUUAAACUUUAUCAAGGUACACAUGCAGGAGAUAAAGGGUGUUACACCUUCAAGUCCUGUAACAUAUUCUCCAAGGAUAAGGGAUGCUGUGGUGCAGCUUAGCAUUUCAUCACUGUUUCCUGGCAGACUCCAUGCAACAAGAGCUGCAGUGGGCAAGUGAACUCCCCGGAAACAGUCCACCAUCUUGCUCAACUGUGAUGGGUGCACUCUGUUUGGGGAUCUAUUCAUAAUUCUACUAUGUAUCCUGAGCUUUUUUUCCCCCGCCGGCAAGAACACACUCAGGACAACGGAAUCUUCUGCGGCAAAAGCUUUAUUGCUUACUUCUCAGGAGGAAGACCUCGAAUACAGGAAACUCAGUCCUUUUACAACCCACAAAGAGCGGUUGGAGACGUGUCAGCUCCUGAUUAGCUGCUCACCAUUAGCCCAGGUGACGUCACGGGACAGGCAGGGCACAAGGCAUGAAAAAAUACCCCAGCACAUGCGCAGACUACUUGUUUACUAGUUAGAACACUGGAUAUCAGCGCCAUCUUGUAAUGGCGAUUGCAAGGGCGGCUCCUCACAACUAUGAAUGUUCAAGUAGUGUGCAUGGGAUGUAUUUGAGUUUCUCAUAGGUGGCCAUCUGUGGAUAAAAUGGUUUCCACACACCAGGUGAAAUACAAACACCAACUGGUUGUAUCUAUCAUCUUCAAUAUCCAUGUGUGGGAAUUGCAUCACACAAACAACAACAAAAUCACACAAAUAAAAAAAUAAUAUUUCA
rnacentral:lncRNA from 1 species